CGCGUAGAUAACCUGUCUUCAUGUCUGGAAUAAUACGCCGAAAGGGGUACUAAUACCGGAUAUUCUUGCUUUAUAUAAGUUUUGCAAGGAAAGGUGGCCUCUGUAUAUGCUACUGCAUGAAGAGGGGUCUGCGUACCAUUAGCUAGUAGGUGGGGUAAUGGCCUACCUAGGCGACGAUGGUUAGCGGGUCUGAGAGGAUGAUCCGCCACACUGGCACUGGAACACGGGCCAGACUCCUACGGGAGGCAGCAGUGAGGAAUAUUGCGCAAUGGGGGCAACCCUGACGCAGCGACGCCGCGUGAGUGAGGAAGGCCUUCGGGUCGUAAAGCUCUGUCAAAGGGAAAGAAGUGCAUGGUGGCUAAUACCUGCCAUGUUUGACGGUACCCUUAAAGGAAGCACCGGCUAACUCCGUGCCAGCAGCCGCGGUAAUACGGAGGGUGCAAGCGUUGUUCGGAAUCACUGGGCGUAAAGGGCGCGUAGGCGGUUUGAUAAGUCAGAUG
rnacentral:rRNA from 1 species